GCUGGGCGCGGUGGCUCACGCCUGUAAUCCCAGCACUUUGGGAGGCUGAGGCGGGUGGAUCACUUGAGGUCAGGAGUUCAAGACCAGCCUGGCCAACAUGGUGAAACCCCGUCUCUA
ensembl:misc_RNA Metazoa_SRP Metazoan signal recognition particle RNA